rfam:Mesocricetus auratus contig077505, whole genome shotgun sequence.
GGAGAGAUGGCUCAGUGGUUAAGAGCACUGGCUGCUCUUGCAGAGGAUCUGGGUUCAAUUCCCAGCACCC